rnacentral:rRNA from 1 species
UACGGGGGGGCAAGCGUUGUUCGGAAUCACUGGGCGUAAAGGGCGCGUAGGCGGCUCGGUAAGUAGGGGUGAAAUCCUGCGGCUUAACCGCAGGGCUGCCUUCUAAACUGUCGAGCUUGAGCACGGUAGAGGCAGAUGGAAUUCCCGGUGUAGCGGUGGAAUGCGUAGAGAUCGGGAAGAACAUCAGUGGCGAAGGCGGUCUGCUGGGCCGUUGCUGACGCUGAGGCGCGACAGCGGUGGGGAGCAAACAGG